rnacentral:rRNA from 1 species
CCACCCUGAACAUACCUGAUCUUGUCUGAUCUUGGAAGCUAAGCAGGGUUGGGCCUGGUUAGUACUUGGAUGGGAGA